CCUACGGGUGACAGCAGUGAGGAAUAUUGGUCAAUGGACGAGAGUCUGAACCAGCCAAGUAGCGUGAAGGAUGACUGCCCUAUGGGUUGUAAACUUCUUUUAUAUGGGAAUAAAAUGUUCCACGUGUGGGAUUUUGUAUGUACCAUAUGAAUAAGGAUCGGCUAACUCCGUGCCAGCAGCCUCGGUCAUACGGAGGAUCCGAGCGUUAUCCGGAUUUAUUGGGUUUAAAGGGAGCGUAGGUGGAUUGUUAAGUCAGUUUGUAACUUUUGCGGCUCAACCGUAAAAUUGCAGUUGAAACUGGCAGUCUUGAGUACAGUAGAGGUGGGCGGAAUUCGUGGUGUAGCGGUGAAAUGCUUAGAUAUAACGAAGAACCCCGAUUGCGAAGGCAGUUCACUGGACUGCAACUGACACUGAGGCUCGAAAGUGUGGGUAUCAAACAGGAUUAGAUACCCCAGUAGUC
rnacentral:rRNA from 1 species